CAGGAAUAGAUAGAGAUCAUUGGGCUUCUUUUGUGGAUUAUCGACUAAAUUCAAAAACAAAGGAGCAUGCUCUGAAAAAUAAAGAUAAUAGGGCAAAGCAAACCAUUGCUCACACAUGUGGAUCUAAGAGUAUUGCAAAGAAAAGAGAUGAAAUGGAAAAAGAGUGUGGCCACAAGGUUAGUAGAGGAGAGGUAUGGAUAGCAACACAUAAACAUGCUAAUGGAGCCUUUGUGAGUGAUGAAGCGAGGGAAAUCAAUGUAA